GAGGGUGUAGCUCAGUGGUAGAGUGCGUGCUUAGCAUGCAUGAGAUUCUGGGUUCAAUCCCCAGUACCUCCA
rnacentral:tRNA from 1 species